CAUGUUACAUACUAUGUGUACUGUCUCUCCCUCUCUCUCCAUACACACAGUAUUAGUGUCAGUGCGCACUAUACACUGUGUAUCCAUGUUACAUACUAUGUGUACAGUCUCUCCCCCUCUCUCCAUACACACAGUAUUAGUGUCAGUGCGCACUAUACACUGUGUAUCCAUAUUACAUACUAUGUGUACAGUCUCUCCCUCUCUCCAUACACACAGUAUUAGUGUCAGUGCGCACUAUACACUGUGUAUCCAUGUUACAGACUAUGUGUACUGUCUCUCCCUCUCUCUCUCCAUACACACAGUAUUAGUGUCAGUGCGCACUAUACACUGUGUAUCCAUGUUACAGACUAUGUGUACAGUCUCUCCCUCUCUCUCCAUACACAC